ACCGAGGCCAGCUGGGCAGACAGCAGCUGGAAGCCUGAGGUCAGAGGGGCUGAGGGACCUGCCCAAGGUCAUGGGGCUGGAACCCACACCUCGGGCCUCCAGUGCAGCGGGUUGUACACAGUGGGAGGGGCUGCGGGCGGUGGGGGUGGUGCCGGGAGAUUGAGGCUGGGGACCCUGCCCCCCCAGCUCUGGUGCAGGAAACAGGUUGCAGGGCCAGGCACGUGAGUGGGGUUUGAAGGGGCAGCCGAGUGGGUGCUGCGGCCCAGCCUGUGGGCUUGGGCCGGGUGGAAGGGGCACAGCACAGCCUGCAGGCCAGUGGGGGUGGGGAGGCUCCAGGUUCAUACGGGACAAAGUUUAUCCAAGCCACGUCCUCCUCCCAAACCAUCCUCCCCUGGUGGUGAGCAGGGAGGGCCAAGGUGAUCCCUCGCUGGCUCUGAAUACACCAGGGGCACGGUUACCUUCUGCCAGGGAGGGUGGUGCCAACAGCCCUGCCCCUGUGGGGUGGUCAUGCUGGGCACCGCAGGCCUGUGAGGAAGCCAGGGACGGGGCUGUCUGCCGGGGUUGGGGGGGGCCUGGCUUUCUACUGGAAGCCACAGGACUGCCCGGGCCUCUUACAUAGGCCGUGGUAGCCUCUGCUCAUGUUGGAGGUGGGAGGGUGUUGUCCUCACUAAUGAAGGUGACGGUCAUGAUAUGCGACAGGUGACAAUGACAGGAGAUGAGGAGACAAAUCCAGUCUACACCCGUCCCAGCCAGGUGUAGAGGUCAGGGGCACCUGGAGCCUCAGGUCGGACAUCAGGGAGAUGUCCAGGCUCAGACAGGGAAGGGGACACUGGUGGGUCCUGCCGGGUCACUUUCCCAAAGGGCUGAGCCCUCCCUGGCCCCAGCAGCAAUUAGU
rnacentral:lncRNA from 1 species